UGUGUGCGCGUGCGCGUGGCACAUGUACACAGCAUGUAUGUGUGACAGUGCAUGUCAAGAGCUUAGACAGCGUGGGUGACCUGAUUCUCUCUCUCUACCACAUGGAACCUGGGGAUGAAACUCAAGUCAUCAGGCCUGAUAGCAAGCACCUUUACAGCUGAGCCGUCUCAUCAGCCUCGGCCUCUAACCCUUUAUCUUCCCGCCUCCGCCUCCUAACUGCUGCAUGGGACACCACGCCCAGCUUUAUUCUUUUGAACAUCUCGGGAUAAGCUUCCCACCUAGGCAUCCAGAAUGAGAAAGAACAAGACCGAACAGUCCCUUCCGUAGGGAGGGAGCAGCAACUGGGCACGGGUGUGCACAGGAUGUGGUUGUCACUGGCAGAGGCAAUGGAGAAGACAGGCUAGUGGGAAAGCCAACAGCGAGGGUUCUGCUCCACCCUGGGAGGCAAGGAAGGCUGCUCUAGGAAGUCUCUCUCGAAGAGUAAUCGGAGCAGGGAAGCAGGCUGGGGGAGUACAGAGAACCUUCUGGAUGGAACAGCAUACCCAAAGGCCUGAAGUCUUGCUGUCUGGCCCAGGCUUCCCGAUAUUGGGUAGCAAUUAGCUCUUUAAGACACAGGAUGUUCACCAGGCGGUGGUGGCACACGCCUUUAAUCCCAGCACUCAGGAGGCAGAGCCAAGUGGAUCUCUGUGAGUUUGAGGCCAGCCUGGUCUACAGAACGAGAUCCAGGACAGGCACCAAAACUACACAGAGAAACCCUGUCUCAAACAAAACAAAACAAGACACAGGAUGUUCUAAUGGGAGGUGGAACACUCCAUCCAACAGGGAACUCCUUAAACUCAGCAAGUACCAACUCAAAGCUUCAGGAAGUCCUUGAAACUGACCAGACUCACCGGCCCCUCGCUCCCAAGCAUAUGGAAGCUGUGAGGACUGAAAGACACUCUCAGAAGAGCUGAGCUGUGUAGAGCAAGCUGAGGCCAAGUGGCCUCCCUGGAAAAAGGACACUCUCUCCAGCUUGCCAAGCUGCCCGCAGGCUGCGUACACACCGACUCCCAGCUUUGAUGAGCUCUCAGCCCCUCGGUGGGCUCUGGUGAUGCAGCUGUCUGUGAGUCGUUUCUGCUCCUGUAAAUAACCCCUCACUCAUACUCCUAUACGUAACCCCAAUAAAACGCACUAGGUCCCCA